ensembl:lncRNA
UUCAUCGACCCCUCUCUGCACCCCUCAACCCCUCCACCCCUGACCAAGACCUAGACCAGGGACACAGGAUUACCCACUGCCUCUCUGGCCCCCUCACCCCUGACCAAAAUCUGGGGCACAGGGCUACCCUCUCUCUCUCCCUCACUGACGAGCUCAGUAAUGAGGAAGCCAUAUACCAGAACACCAUCUCACAUUAUGGAGAGGAGGAUGAAGGCAGUGUCCAUAGAUUUAGAAGGAGAUGUGAGGAGGAGAGAGAUGAAGAAGAGGAGGAAGAGUGUAAGGAGGAAGAGGAUCAGUAUGACAUUCUACCAGCCCCCCGGAACUCUGAGUAUCACAUCAACCAAUCAGAUGAAGACUUGACUGAUGGAGAGGACCUCUAUGACUUCCCACUGUCCAAUAGGAGGGCAAGUGACCGCCAAGAUUAUAGGGAGAUGACAGAGAGCAUCUAUGACGUCCCCAGUUCCCUAAUGAGGAAAAUGUCUGAACACACACUUGCAGAGCCUUACCCUGGAGGUGAGAUACUGGUGGAGGACAGGGGCCUCCUGGAUGACAUGAUGGCCAGUCUGGGUGGAGGGACGGUGGGCUGGAUAACAGGUGCUUCUACUGUGGAGCCCUACGGGCUGGCUCAUCAUGGCUCUUAGGACUGGUAUAUAGUAUAGACUCUGGAUAAUAUAGACUGAAUGAGUUUUCCUCAUUCAAAUUGUUCUAUAAAGCUUGACGCAUUCUGUUAGAGAUUUAAAUAUGUUUACAUUUUAUGAAAAAAAAAUCUCAUUUGUCAUGAUAUUCUAUUCUAUUGACUUCUCUUUUAAUACAAUCUACUGUCAAGGAAAUACCAUAUUAAAUAACUAACUUCAUACUGUCAAAGUGUUCCACUUAGUAUAUAAUGUCAGGAGAGAGGUACUAUAGUAUUCAGG